AUACGGAGGGUGCAAGCGUUAUUCGGAAUCACUGGGCGUAAAGGGUGCGUAGGCGGUUUGAUAAGUCUGAUGUGAAAUCCUAUGGCUCAACCAUAGAACUGCAGUGGAAACUGUCAGACUAGAAUACUGAAGGGGCAGAUGGAAUUAGUGGUGUAGGGGUAAAAUCCGUAGAUAUCACUAGGAAUACCGAAAGCGAAAGCGAUCUGCUGGGAAGUUAUUGACGCUGAGGUGCGAAAGCGUGGGGAGCAAACAGGAUUAGAUACCCUAGUAGUCC
rnacentral:rRNA from 1 species